rnacentral:misc_RNA from 1 species
GAUGAAGAACGUAGUGAAAUGCGAUACGUAAUGUGAAUUGCAGAAUUCAGUGAAUCAUCGAAUCUUUGAACGCACAUUGCACUCCUUGGUAUUCCGAGGAGUAUGCCUGUUUCAGUAUCAUGAGCACUCUCACACCUAACCUUUGGGUUUAUGGCGUGAAAUUGGAAUGCGCCGACUGUCAUGGUUGGCCCUUCUAAAAUGUAGUUCUUGGCUGUCACCUAAUACAGCAGUUUGGCCUAAUAGUUUUGGCAUUCAUUGUCAAAUCUUUGGCUAACAUUUGCUCCAGGAGUCAGUCUUGAUAAUACAGAAAACUCAUUCAAAUUUUGAUCUGAAAUCAGGUAGGGCUACCCGCUGAACUUAAGCAUAUCAAUAAGCGGAGGA